AAGACUGUAUUUUCAAAAAAAAAAUGUAUAAUUUGUAAGUAGAGAAGUGCGGUUGAAAGUGUCUGAUCUCACUAACCACGAGAAAGACUCAAAGUGUCUUUUUCGAGCACGCAGGGAGCGGACAGCGUUGGUUUAAAGCAAUUUCUGUCUGCUAUUGAUGUCCAUUCCUGCUUUCAUUUUGGAGAGCCUAGAGGGAGAGAGCACAGACUGAGUAGU